ACGGGUGAGUAACGCGUGGGAACCUUCCCUGUGGUACGGAAUAACUUCCGGAAACGGAAGCUAAUACCGUAUAUCCCCUCCGGGGGAAAGAUUUAUCGCCAUAGGAUGGGCCCGCGUUGGAUUAGCUAGUUGGUGGGGUAAUGGCCUACCAGGGCGACGAUCCAUAGCUGGUCUGAGAGGAUGAUCAGCCACACUGGGACUGAGACACGGCCCAGACUCCUACGGGAGGCAGCAGUGGGGAAUAUUGGACAAUGGGCGCAAGCCUGAUCCAGCCAUGCCGCGUGAGUGAAGAAGGCCUUAGGGUUGUAAGGCUCUUUUGGCGGGGACGAUAAUGACGGUACCCGCAGAAUAAGCCCCGGCUAACUUCGUGCCAGCAGCCGCGGUAAUACGAAGGGGGCUAGCGUUGUUCGGAAUCACUGGGCGUAAAGCGCACGCAGGCGGAUUGAUAAGUCAGGGGUGAAAUCCCGGGGCUCAACCUCGGAAUUGCCUUUGAUACUGUCUAUCUUGAGUUCGGGAGAGGUUGGCGGAAUUCCUAGU
rnacentral:rRNA from 1 species